rnacentral:sRNA from 1 species
CGCAUCUUGGUGGGUCUGGAGCUGGCUGACAAUGCAGGGGUCUCUCUGUGUCUCCAGAGUCCUGUCUAUCGCUGGGAGCUCCAUCUCUCCUGCCCCACCCAUCAUGCCAGAGACUGCAGCCUCAGACUCCCUGGGGGUGCUGGAGCCACAGUGCAGAGGUGGUGCCCAACUCAGAGGACCAGGGACCGGGCGCCGCCUUCCAGCUCAGUGAAGCAAGCCCUCCCCAGAGCUCAGGCCUGCGGUUCAGUGGCUGCCCUGAACUUUGGCAAGAAGAUCUGGAGGGGGCCCACCUGGGCAUCUUCUACUAAAUGGCCUCGGCUUCCCUCUUUCCAUCCAGGAAUCAGGCCUGUAGCUUGGGUGCCUCCUCAUUUGUUAAUUAGUGGCUUUUCAUGUUCUCCUUUAGCCAAGGCUCCCUUUUUCCAAGUGAUGUCUUUCAGGGAAGCAGUGUUUGAAAUAGAUAGCGGGUACCUUCCCUGGAUGGAGUCAGGGUGGGGGCACUGUCCUCCACUGCUAGACACUCCCAGAAUGCCUGGCGCUCUGCAGAGCACAGUCUGAGCUGCUCUAAGAAGGGGUCUCCUUUACCCUAAAGGCAGCUGGGCAGGGACAGGCGGGAGAAUGGGUGUAGGAGGCCGGCCCCAGGCUCUGCUU